rnacentral:rRNA from 1 species
AGUGAACGCUGGCGGUAGGCCUAACACAUGCCAGUCGAACGGCAGCACAGUAAGAGCUUGCUCUUACGGGUGGCGAGUGGCGGACGGGUGAGGAAUACAUCGGAAUCUACUUUUUCGUGGGGGAUAACGUAGGGAAACUUACGCUAAUACCGCAUACGACCUACGGGUGAAAGCAGGGGAUCUUCGGAACUUGCGCGAUUGAAUGAGCCGAUGUCGGAUUAGCGAGUUGGCGGGGUAAAGGCCCACCAAGGCGACGAUCCGUAGCUGGUCCGAGAGGAUGAUCGGCCACGCUGGAAGUGAGACACGGUCCAGACUCCUACGGGAGGCAGCAGUGGGGAAUAUUGGACAAUGGGCGCAAGCCUGAUCCAGCCAUACCGCGUGGGUGAAGAAGGCCUUCGGGUUGUAAAGCCCUUUUGUUGGGAAAGAAAAGCAGCAGGUUAAUACCCCGCUGUUCUGACGGUACCCAAAGAAUAAGCACCGGCUAACUUCGUG